UACGGAGGAUGCGAGCGUUAUCCGGAUUUAUUGGGUUUAAAGGGUGCGUAGGCGGAUCGUUAAGUCAGUGGUCAAAUUGAGGGGCUCAACCCCUUCCCGCCAUUGAAACUGGCGCUCUUGAGUGGAAGAGAAGUAUGCGGAAUGCGUGGUGUAGCGGUGUAAUGCAUAGAUAUCACGCAGAACCCCGAUUGCGAAGGCAGCAUGCCGGCUUCCGACUGACGCUGAAGCACGAAAGCGUGGGGAUCGAACAGG
rnacentral:rRNA from 1 species